CUCAGUAACUUUUCCUCUGGACAGGUUUUGAGAAAUUUCUCCCCUUGUCCCAAAGUAAAAAGAGGAAUAUAAAUGAUCAAAGGGUAGAAUAUACAGCAAACAUCAUGGUACCGAUAAAGAGCUACAGCUCGUCCAGCGGAAAAAUAAUCCCUCACACAACUGGGAGGUGUCAGGAGAAACCUGGCGGCAGUGGUGGUGGACCUUCCCUCUCUCUGAUCUCCGGACAAUGUGGCUCUUCACACCUACGACAAUACACCGAGACAUAAAGCUCCAGCAGGGGCUUCCAGCUAUUCACAGGGGACCAAAGAAAUGUAUUCAUUUUACAGCCUUCAAUGGAGAAGACAUCACUUUGAUCCACCAAUGAUCUUCUAUGGGAUAUGUGUUUCCAGUGAAUUUCCAUUUCAGAAAGUGCUACAGCUGUCUUGAUGCCAUGUCUCUUCUACAUUGUUGCCAGGAUUAAAGACUUUUUAUGAAUAAACUUUAUCCCUCCUGUUUCACCC